UAUCCAAAUACACCUUCUUGAAAUAAUGAACAGUCAAGUUUCAUUAUUCAGAUUCAAUGUUCCAAUACAUCAAAUGUAACCGGUCUUGACCUCUAGUUGUCAUCUACCUAUAUAAAGGGGUUUUGGGGUCUCUUGUCAACACACAGAAAAUCAUAUCUCAUUCUUCUUCAAAAGCUCUUUUCUCUGGGCAAUAUUCUUUGUGCGAACUCCAAACUUCCAGCCGCUAGUGCAAGUGUUUGGAAGUGUUGUGAAACCUUGGGGAGCGAACGGGCUAAAAGAUUUGCCCCAUAGUUGAUCCGAAUUACCGAAGAUUGCAUCCGACACAGUGAGUAAGGAUCCUUGUGGCUUGCCAUCUACCACUCUAUGCAGAUUCUUCUAUUCACACUGAUGCGGGUCCUAUCUAAACUUGUUCGUGACAUUUUAGAAAUUCAGCUAAGGCUUAGGCAUACCUGCUCAACGCAAUGCUCUUGAGAACCCAUUAAGAGAUUAAUCAAAAACAAGAACAAAAGUGGUGGCUCAGAUCUGCCCGACAAGAUGGGUGGAAGUGGAUGAAGGUUGUUGACGCGGUGGCUUUUGAGUUUUCAUGGUUAGAUCCGGUUAGAUCUUGGCCGGAUCUGGCCGGAUCUACUUAGUUCUGGUCAGAUUUUGCUUUGUCGGAAUCUGGCUGGCGGUGACUUUUCCGGUCAGAUUCCGGUGCCGAAUCUGGAAAAUCAUUUUUUUUUAGUGUAUUCAUUAAAUUUUUAGCAUACAAUUCAGUGUAUUCAUUAAUUUUUUGGCGUACAAUUCAGUGUUUUGUGUAUUUUUAUUUUCUUGUAUUCUGUUUUUGAGUGUAUUCGUUAAUUUUAUUUCUUGUAUACAAAUGAAUACAUUAAUUUUUGAAGUGUAUACAAAUGAACAGAGUGAAUUUUA